rnacentral:lncRNA from 1 species
UGUGAACAUUGUGGUAAGUUAAUGCAUUUUUUUAUACACUAUUCAUUUCUUUCAGGUGACCUCAAGCAACAAGGGGUCAGAACUAUGUGGACUUUGAUUUGGAAUGUCCUUCCUACCCAGCCCUAUCCACCUCAUGCUUGGGUGCCGGACCCUUGUUUUUCAGUUAAAAAUGGCAGGACUGGGGCUCAAGAAAUCCAAGUGCAGUGCAAACCAUACCUGCUGGCUCAAUCCAGCUGCAGAGACACCAUUAGAAUUCUGCCCUCUGUACCAACAAACCAGCCAAAAGCUCUGAGCCUACACCUGUGAAAAUAGUAAUACUAGUGAUAAACACGACUGACGCGACUUAGCAGCAGCAGCAGCGAUAAACAAGUGUUGGAACAGUGUUAAGGAUCUAUUAGUUCCCAACUGAGACCUCCUCCUUGGUGUAAUCAGAAUGAAAGAGAAUUCAAGUGGUAAUAACUUUCUCACUGUGCAAAUCAAU